CGAAACUUAAUGUUGAAAUAAACAAAAGAUAAAAUUUGCUCCGUUCUGGCUCCUUGCUGUGCUCCUCUCAGUUUUACUUACAACUGCUGGUGCUGGAAAAUUGCUAGUAAGAAGAAUCAGAACAUGGUACAAACAACCUAUCCCAUCUUAGAUUCCAUUCAUUUUGAUGAACAGCUGAUGAAUUAUCAUUUCUCUUACCCUGUUUCCUAGUCAGAAUCAGCAUCAGUAUCUGGAUCAGCAUCAACAAUGCCUGGAAAUGAGUCCAUAGAUGAGUCACUAUCCAAAUGCACCAUAGAUGAACUACCCUUCUCGGCAUUUCGCAAGGUUGAUGAAGUUUUUCCAGCAACAUGAUCAAAACCAUCAACUUUAUCCACGCAAGAGAACAUAUCAUGAUUGGUAUCAUUUAAUCUAUCACUAGCAGAAAGAGGCGUCUUAGAUUCUAUUUCACUACCUUCAGGAUUUGUUCCAACUGCAGGACUCAUGACGGCUUUUGCAGAAGCUACUCCCUGAGACUUUGGAACUGAUUCUUCUAAGUGACAGGGCUGCACCACAAUUUCAUUUUCCGUUCUCAUAUGCACAUCUGCUGCUGGCUCUUGUUCCCUUACCUCUAAAACAUUUGUAAA
rnacentral:lncRNA from 1 species